UGUUGGGUUGCCACUGUUCCCAGCCAUCAGAUGUUGGCUCCCUCCUCCAAUCACCUUUACAAGGCAAAUGAAACUCUAUUACAUCCUUCUAUGAAAAGGGCAAGCUGGAUCUAUUCUACGGCGAUGCGAGCAACUGAAACAACCUGGGCACCAAUUCCCAGGUAUGAACCAUCUGCUAUAGUCUAUGGAUUGCGUGGAAUAAUGUAUCAACUGUUCUAUCAUCUAAUAACUUUCUUGUCAAAAGAGCCGCUGAGGAAGCAUAUAGUCAAUGGUCUUAACCCAUUUUUCUUUCACACAGUCACUUUCAAUCAUCGAUUGGCUUGCAUAUAAUAUAGUUGGGAGAAUCCUGCUCUGGGCUAUUAGAGUUGGUAUUACAUUAGUCGCUCAGACCUUCUAUGGAGGCACCAAAGAUCAACUUUUUCUUGUAGAAUAAGAUAUAUUCCACAGUUUGAUGUAACAACUAGGUGAAUCUUAAGGACUCGACUCUUCAAUCAAAAAGAUUGUGGUUAGCUUCUUUUGCCUGGAGGCAGAAAUGCAACCUAAAAAUGGCUUAUAGCUAGUGCCGCAUAAGUGUUCGCAUA